rfam:Asticcacaulis sp. YBE204 contig00004, whole genome shotgun sequence.
UCAGAUGGCCGGGCGGUCGCGGGAUAUUUCGAUAUCCUGAGGAAAGUCCGGGCUUCACGGUAAUAUGGCGGCGGGUAAUGCCCGCCGGGGGCGACCCCAGAGAUAGCGCCACAGAAAACAGACCGCCGGGCGUCAGCCCGGUAAGGGUGAAACGGUGCGGUAAGAGCGCACCGCGCGACCGGUAACGGAAGCGGCACGGCAAGCCUCGCCAGAAGCAAGACCAAAUAGGAACGGCGCGUCGGGCAACCGACAGGGUAUUACCGCCCCAGCACGUUCGGGUAGGUUGCGUGAGCCGCACAGCGAUGUGCGGCCAAGAUGAAUGAUCGCCAGAGGGCGAAAGCCCCGAACAGAACCCGGCUUACAGGCCAUCUGAUCCA